UCGGAUCCUGUAAGGGAGAUGGAACUGCUGGGUCUGCCUGCUUCCUCAGCGGGUUCCUCCCAGCCGCUCCCACUUCCUAGAGUCUUCCAAAGACUGCCUUCCCAAACCCCAAUUCCCAAGUCUUCCUAGUCAGCAGUCUUCAUGUCCAAUUAAGACUUUGAAGGGCCUUGUCCUUGGAGACCCCAUUGUCUGUGCCCAGCGCUCCUACAGGGAGGACUUAUGGGAGAAGGGUCUGAAGCUUGAAGCUCUGUCUCGACCCCUUAGGCCUGAUGUUCCUGUUUCCUCCCCAACCCUUUUCUCCUUCCCAACCUGGCUAGAAGGGUUGCCUAGGAGACCCUGGCUCACUUACUGUCCUCCUUGCAGCAGACAGACACCUGGAGUCUCAGGCACUGGCCAGGACUCUCCGGAGUUGGCACCGCUGUAGGAAAUUGGGAGGAAAAAGAGGCAGCGUGAGCCGCUCACUCACAGAUGUAGUAGUAAGUCUCUCCAGGCAAGAACUCGAAGCCCAGCGGGAACGGUGUGAAGCGCUGAAUCUUUUCGGAGAAUCGAACAGGGACAAAAGGCGCAAAAGGGUGUUGCUAAAUUGCCCAGGCUGUCCAUGAACUCACUCUAUAGUUCAGGCAGGCUUUGAACCUACGAUCCUCCUGUCCUAGCCUUCCAAGUAGCUGAGCUUACACGCCUGUGCCAAUGCCCAGACUGAAUACCUCGGGAGACUGGAGAAGCAAGAAAUAAGAUCAUUAAGUCAGUGUUGGAGAGGCCAGAGCUGCAGUGUCCAGCCCAUGAGGCUUGCUUAUUGCUGAGGGGACACCUUCCCUGCAGCCCAUCCUCCCUGGGGCCCCCUUUGGUGCCUGGCUUACCAUCUGUGCUUGGUAAGUGCUAAGAGGGUGAAAGUUACCAGGAGGCUAAGGCAGGGAGCAGCUAUAUGCUCACAGCAUAGUUACCAAGAUGAAGUGGGAGUUCUGAGGGUUUUCAGUAUCAGACACAUCAAGCAGACUCUUGCCCCCCUCCCACAGUGAAAAAAAAUGGUACAAAGAAAACGGGCAGGUGGGCUCUUUUUCUCUCUUUAGAGAUCCCAGGCUGGCCUUGAACUCAUGAUCCUCCUGCUUUACC